rnacentral:rRNA from 1 species
GAUAAACGCUAGCGGCAGGCUUAACACAUGCAAGUCGAGGGGUAUAGUUCUUCGGAACUAGAGACCGGCGCACGGGUGCGUAACGCGUAUGCAAUCUACCUUUUGCAGAGGGAUAGCCCAGAGAAAUUUGGAUUAAUACCUCAUAGUAUGUGAGAAUGGCAUCAUUUUCACAUUAAAGUCACAACGGCAAAAGAUGAGCAUGCGUCCCAUUAGCUUGUUGGUAAGGUAACGGCUUACCAAGGCAACGAUGGGUAGGGGUCCUGAGAGGGAGAUCCCCCACACUGGUACUGAGACACGGACCAGACUCCUACGGGAGGCAGCAGUGAGGAAUAUUGGACAGUGGGCGCAAGCCUGAUCGAGCCAUGCCGAGUGCAGGAUGACGGUCCUAUGGAUUGUAAACUGCUUUUGUACAGGAAGAAACACUGGUUCGUGAACCAGCUUGACGGUACUGUAAGAAUAAGGAUCGGCUAACUCCGUGCCAGCAGCCGCCGUAACAC